ensembl:lncRNA
GUAACAAGCGCCUAUUGUCUGUUGCAUCAUUCACCACAGUGUUCCAAACUGCCUCUGAAAGCAACAUUGGGAGCUUCAUGAAAUGCAUUUCCAUGGCCAAGCAGCUGUACGCAAGCCUUACAUCAACAUGCGCAAUGCCAAGGGUCGGCUGGAGUUGGAUCUUCUCACAGAAAUGAAUCGCGUCUACCGAAUAGAUGUUGACAAGAAGAUUCUUUUUGGACUCCGCAAGUAUUUUAUAAAGUGUCCUCCAUUCCCCCUUGCCAUGUGGUCUGCCUCCCCCAUCUUCACAAUACUGACAGACUUUGCCACAUCCAACUCCACUGCUGCUGAUCCCUGGAAAACCCAUUUCAUCACGAGUGUGAGAUGACGCCGGCCAUGGAUGGGGAGAACAUCCACACAUAAGAUGUGUUUAUAGGACUAGGGACUCUGCUGGGGC